AUUGAACGCUGGCGGCAGGCCUAACACAUGCAAGUCGAGCGCGUGGCGGAAGGGUGAGUAAUGUCUGGGAAUCUGCCCGAUGGAGGGGGAUAACUACUGGAAACGGUAGCUAAUACCGCAUACUAUCGGAUGAACCCAUAUGGGAUUAGCUAGUAGGUGGGGUAAAGGCUCACCUAGGCGAAGAUCCCUAGCUGGUCUGAGAGGAUGAACAGCCACACUGGAACUGAGACACGGGCCAGACUCCUACGGGGGGGAGCAGUGGGGAAUAUUGCACAAAGGGCGAAAGCCUGAUAGAUCCCUGCCGCGUGGAUUAAGAAGGCCUUCAGGUUGUAAAGUACUUUCAGCGGGGAGGAGGUACCCGCAGAAGAAGCACCGGCUAACUCCGUUCCAGCAGCCGCGGUAAUUC
rnacentral:rRNA from 1 species